rnacentral:tRNA from 5 species
GCGAGUGUAGUUUAGUGGUAAAACUCAAGCUUCCCAAGCUUGCGUCGCGGGUCCGAUUCCCGUCACUCGCUUCA